AGAGUUUGAUCAUGGCUCAGAAUCAACGCUGGCGGCGUGCCUAACACAUGCAAGUCGAACGCGAAAGUGGAGCAAUCCAUGAGUAGAGUGGCGAACGGGUGAGUAACACGUGGGUGACCUGCCUUCGAGUGGGGGAUAACAUCCCGAAAGGGGUGCUAAUACCGCAUGACAUCCUGCCUUUGAACAGGCGGACAUUAAAGCCGGGGAUCGCAAGACCUGGCGCUCGAAGAGGGGCCCGCGCCCGAUUAGCUAGUUGGUGAGGUAAUGGCCCACCAAGGCUACGAUCGGUAUCCGGCCUGAGAGGGCGGACGGACACACUGGGACUGAGACACGGCCCAGACUCCUACGGGAGGCAGCAGUGGGGAAUUGUUCGCAAUGGGCGAAAGCCUGACGACGCAACGCCGCGUGGAGGAUGAAGAUCUUCGGGUCGUAAACUCCUUUCGAUCGGGACGAAUGAUCGGUGACCUAACACGUCAUCGGAAUGACGGUACCGAGAGAAGAAGCCCCGGCUAACUCCGUGCCAGCAGCCGCGGUA
rnacentral:rRNA from 1 species